rnacentral:rRNA from 1 species
UACGGAGGGUGCAAGCGUUGUCCGGAAUCACUGGGCGUAAAGGGCGCGUAGGCGGCUCGGUAAGUAGGGGGUGAAAUCCUGCGGCUCAACCGCAGGGCUGCCUUCUAAACUGUCGAGCUCGAGCACGGUAGAGGCAGAUGGAAUUCCCGGUGUAGCGGUGGAAUGCGUAGAGAUCGGGAAGAACAUCAGUGGCGAAGGCGGUCUGCUGGGCCGUUGCUGACGCUGAGGCGCGACAGCGGUGGGGGAGCAAACAGG